UGAUGUUCUGAUAGCCAGCAAAUUAUUAUUCUAAGAUGAUAAGGUAUUAUGUGCCAUCGUUGGCAUCUGCCUAAUGGUGUUUUCAAUGAUGUUCUCAAAAGUGAAGGUGAACAGAGGUGAAGGAUAAACUGCCUGUUUCAUAGUAGUGCAGGUACUUGGUGCAGGGUUUCCUCCGUCUUCCAUCACCACUCCUUAAGCAAGAAGUAGCAAGUUAUCCUGGCUGAUGCAGUGAAAUAGCUGAAGGGCAGGAACAUGACUCCAUCCAAUCCUCGGUCAUCGGCUCUUUGCUUGGAGGUGACAGGGAGUAGAAGAGAUUCUGAAAACCCGUCAAUUAUAAGCAUGCAUUUUGGGACAACUGUGAGAACAAGCCUGUGCUAAGUGUUUGAUCAGAAAAAACGUGGGAGACUGUGUUGAAGUUAAGACUGCACAUGCAAGCAUUUCCAGUGUGGAUCUACUGACCAUCAGGAUCUGGAGCAGGGAACACCAUGGACAGCUGUGCUUAGGCUGACCAGGAUGAAGCAGAGCAGGCCUCUUUCACCUUUCUGUAGCAGGAUGAGCUGGUGCAGUGGCACUGGAACGAGGACAGAGUCUUGUGCCAGGGCAGCUGGGUGGCCAUCACCCUGUCCUUCCAUGGAGAGCAGACCUGGGAACAGCAUGGCAGGUCUUCAGUGUGGUUGCAUUUCCAGGAGCAGGGAAAAACUGGUUGCUCCUUGGGUCAGAUCUUUCGGAGUCAGAGGUCCUUCAGAAGUGCUGUCCUGUACCUUUUAGCUUUGUGUAUGACUUCUGUAAAAUAAUGUAAAUGUAUCUGUGGCACCUCUCUCAUGUACAUCUAAAGCACUGAGUUUGCUGAUUUAUGUAUUUAAUUGUAGCUUGACAAUGUCUGUAGGGCUGAGCCUGUGAUUGACAAAGCUAUGAAUUUUAGUUUCCUUACACUGCCUGAAUCACAUCUGUACUAUCAUGACCUGACAAUUAUUUAAUCAGCAUAUGGUAUCACUGUCUAUCUGUUUAUAUGGCUGUAAUUAUCAUAUAUGACAUGCAUAUAAGCUUGUAAAAUACAGUAUGAAUUUUAGAUUAUGUGAAAAAAUGUUAACAAGAAAAGUAUUUUAAUCAAAAGCUAUAUUUAGGUAUGGGAAGUAGUUGUAUAUAUUAUUAACCUACUGUUUUAAGUGAAUUAGUGAAAUAAGAUGUAUCUAUACUACUGUAAAAAUAAUGUCUGAUGUAUUGAAUAUUUAUUACAGGUGAAUGAUACUUCUGAAUGAUCUCAUCACUUAUAAAUAUCAAUAAAA